UUAAAAACCACGUAACGUAAGUCUUGAUAUUUCACUCCGUAGAAAUGUAUUAAUUGGUGACGAUUAAACCCACAAGGCAGCAGAUACACAUCAGUAUCAGAGACCAUGUCGACAUCGGUUGCCAUAAAGGUUGAUGCUGCAAGUCCCGCAGGUCUCUCCGAAGAGAAAAAAAAUGGCGGGGAAGUAUUUGGAACAUGGAAGAGACGGCCGUCAAUUAUAUCAGACGCCAAUACAGACGAAGAAAAAAGCCCAAAUCCCGCAUCCUUACUCAGAAGAAGAUCAACAUUUAAGGGUAUAGCAACUGGUUUGUUAAGCAUGCGCAGAUUUACUAAAGGACGGAUUAGCAUUUCAACAGCACCAGAGGAAGUAAAACCUAAAGUAAGGCUGGAAAACACUUACAAGACAGACCCAGAUGAAGGAAAGGAGUUCAGAGCCAUGAAAGUCGAAGAUGUUGUGAGCAGUAUUU